rnacentral:rRNA from 1 species
UGGGGAAUUUUGGACAAUGGGGGCAACCCUGAUCCAGCCAUGCCGCGUGCGGGAAGAAGGCCUUCGGUUGUAAACCGCUUUAGUCCGGGAAGAAAAGGACACGGGCGAAUACCCGUCGUUCUUGACGGUACCGGCGGAAUAAGCACCGGCUAACUACGUGCCAGCAGCCGCGGUAAUACGUAGGGUGCGAGCGUUAAUCGGAAUUACUGGGCGUAAAGCGUGCGUAGGCGGUUUGUCGUGUCCUGUGUGAAAGCCCCGGGCUCAACCUGGGAACUGCAUGGGAAACUGGCAAGCUUGAGUGUGGCAGAGGGGGGUGGAAUUCCGCGUGUGGCAGUGAAAUGCGUAGAGAUGCGGAGGAACACCGAUGGCGAAGGCAGCCCCCUGGGCCAACACUGACGCUCAGGCACGAAAGCGUGGGGAGCAAACAGGAUUAGAUACCCUGGUAGUCCACGCCCUAAACGAUGUCGACUAGGUGUUGGGGAAGCGAUUCCUUGGUACCGUAGCUAACGCGUGAAGUCGACCGCCG